rnacentral:lncRNA from 1 species
AGCAGACUCAGGGUUCCUGUUGGCGCUGGUGCUGAUCGUAGUGGUUGGCUCCCUCUUCAACUACGCCCUCUUUCUGUGCACCGCCGUGACCUCGGCCCUCACCACGUCCCUCGUGGGCGUCGCCAAGAAUGUCGUGCAGACCCUGGGGGGUUUCUUCGCCUUCGGUGGGGUGCGUUACCACCCGCUCAACGUCACCGGCAUUGUAAUGAACACCGCGGGCGGGUUCCUAUACGCUUACGUCAAGUACCGAGAGAAGCUCAAGUCCACGCAAGUCUUGCCAAAGUACGAGGUCCUCAAAGACCAGAACUUGAACCAUGUCUUGUCCCCUCACAGCCACGGCGCUCGAACAGCACCUCACGAGCUCAUGGAUGUGAGGAUAUCCUGAGAGCUGGCCUCUCUAGGACACAGUAUUACAUUUCGUGCCUACUUCAAGUCCGAGAUUAUCUUAGCGGUAAGGAAAUGUUCUGUAGAAAACUUUCUAAUAACUGUGAUAAGCUUUUUUAAAUUUUAGCUUGAUACGGCGAUUUUCGUCUGAAAUUUGCGUGGAGAAAAGAGUGAGUUUCGAGUAUGCUUGCUUUUCGUCCGAUCGUUAGCUUUUCAAAUUUCAUGAUGUACUUAAUGAGGGAAAUGUAGUUCAUGAAUUUGAAGUAAUCCUGGCAACUAGUCUCAGAAGACACCGCCGUAGUCACUGGUGACUGUCUCAGACAUGUUGUCAUCUCCAAUGAGCUUCAAAACUCUUUAACUGUAGCAACCUCGCCCCUGUAUUUUUUUAGGACUUGCACGAGCUUCUGCUCACUGCACCAGGCUUUGAACUGUGCUGCUUCAGCCGAGUUCCAGCAUUGAACCUGCACGGAACUUAUUUUAUUAACUGAACCUUCAUUGUGUGAGGUUAGAGAUACCGGUGGCAAUGGUCCUUCAUCGUCCUGCACCCACGCAGGACGAUGCAGGUACGGCUGCAUGACGAUAUCGGUACGAUAUCAUGACGAUAUGGGUGCGACUGCAUCGUCUUGACCAGGGGUCACCAAACUUUUUUCACAGUGGGCCGGAUAACUGAAUGUAUGACGAGCGCGGGCCGCAUAGUCAUUCUGUUCAAUACUUGCAAGCCAGAACGAAAGCUCUGGAAAGAAAGACGAAAAACUAAUUUUAGCAUUCCACGUUAAUCAAAAAACAAAGACAACCGACACUUUAUUUACUAAAAAGUUUUCAAAGAAGGCAACGUAAGCAAAAAGAUAGUUACAUCAGACAUAGUGUGCACAUAUCCGAAUCUCACAAACUAAACAGCAAAGGUCAGUGAGAUUUGUGAAACUGACGUUUGGCUUUCAAGAUAUCAAUGUUUGAUUUGGAAUUGCUGCAUCCAAUCAAGAGAAUUGCUUUCAAAUGUUCAUCAGUCAAUCUCGUUCGAAGUGUUGACUUCACAUACUUCAUUUUGGAAAAUGUUUGCUCACAGACAUAAGUUGUUUUAAACACUGAUACCAUACAAGCGGCAAAUUUCUUCAAUUUCGGAAACUCAGGAUCAGGUAAGCAGCGUUAAAAUUCGACAAGUUUUCCUUCUCUGAGAUUCUUUUUCAACAAGUCAUUUGCUUGCAAAUCACUGAGCUCCAACUGUAGUUCAAGUGUUCAACUGGCACAUCAUCAAGGUUACAAUCAAACGGAUUUUGGAACAGAAGAAUAUCACUAUCAGUUCUGUCGAGAAAUGAAAAUCUCUUUAAAAAAUGCUUCUUCAAGUCACGAACAAUAUUUUUUUGGAAAAUCGAGGUUGACACCUUCAGCGAUUGAAGGGCAAAACUCUCCGAAACAGUGAAAAUGAGAGAAGUUAUUUCCUUCCAGUUGUGCUUCAAACAAUGACAGCUUUCUUCGAAAUCCUUUGAUGAUUCUGUAGAGAUCACAGACGAGGUUAUCCUUUCCCUGAAGUUUCAAGUUCAGUUCAUUCAUGUGGGAUGUGAUGUCGACCAAAAAAGACAAUUUUAACAGACAGAUAGGAUCUGACAGCUGUGAAUCCGCUCUUAUCUUUUUCAGUGAGAAAAACAUCUAUUUCGUUUCGGAGCUUGUAAAAACGAAACGGGACUUUACCACAGCUGAGCCAUCUCACUGCUGCUUAAUAAGGCAAGUCACAGAAAUCAGAAUCAAUUUCUUCAAGAAAAGCCUGGAACUGACGGUGAUUGAGUGCAACUGUGCAAGUCCCCGAAUCAAGUUCACAGCAGAAACGACUGGUUUCAGUACACAAGAAAUAUCUAAAUCUUUCCCACAGAGUGCUUGCUGAUGUAUGAUGCAGUGUAUGAACAGAGCACCUGGAAUUUGAAGAUCUAACUGAGUCCUGAUCUGCCCCAGCAGCCCCACCAGACCCUUCCUCAUUCCAGCCAUGUUUUGACCUCCAUCAACUGUAACACUUCGAAGCUGAUUCCACGGAAGGUUAUACAUAGUCUUGCAGUUUUCUGCACUUCUAUGAACUUCAGGAGGUCUCCUCACGCGCGAAGAUUUCCUAGUAUUAUAAACAUAAAAUUUAAAUUGUAUCACAACAUCUCGUGCUCCAACCGUUUUAUUAGACAAAUUAAAGUACCGUCGACGGGCCUGAUGAACUAACGUCGCGGGCCGGAUUCGGCCCGCGGGCCGUAGUUUGGUGACCCCUGGUCUUGACCAACGUAGGACGAUGAGUCUGGCCAAUUCAGUGCAAUGCUUCCUAUAGCCUAUGGCUUCCUUAACAAUUAAGAAUUGUUAAUCUUAUUCAAAUUUUAUUCAGGAGUUCAAAUGAUUGAAUUUCAUGAAAGUUACUGCGCUUCCCUGUUAUUAGAUUUUAAGUUUUUGAUAUUUAUUUCCAAUUAUGUUUUUUAUAAAAUUUCUUCUUAACUGUUUUAACUCAUUACUAAUUUAUUAAGUUAACUAAGUGUCUUAACUUAAUUAUUCUCUACGUUGUUAUUUGUUUGCGAUCUGUGGUUGGGCAAUCUUAACCGUCACUUCAUCUCAAGUCCUGCAAUUUUCAUGUAGUGUGAAGUUAUUUUAUUAGCUUGCGAAGAAUGAACCGUAUGAAACGGUAUGAUUGAUCACAAGUAUGCCCUCGUGUAUUUCAUUUCGGUUUUCGGUUAUUCACUUAUUUCUCUUUAGUUCUUAUAGUCAGUGUAUUAGCUCUGAACUCAAUCUUCGUCGCCGUGCAACACUUUGAUCAAAUAAAAAGCAAUCAAGUUGAAUAAUCUAGCGAUAUUGCAAUAAUCAGGCCAUUUUACAAGUUUAUUCUCUUCUAUUCCUGUUUUUGCCUCAUUUGUUAAUAAUUUUUAUUUGUAAAAAUAUAAAGAAUGUAUUUCAAGCUUACGAAAUCUGCUACAACGUUUAUUAAAAAUCUUUGCCUUCUUGGAGUGCAAUUUUAAAACUCGCUUUAAAUUUAAUCUUGAGUUAAUCUUUUCAAAUAUAAGGCUGCGUUAGACGCUGAACUUGAAAUUCAGUUCUGCUUUUGUUGCUUUUUAUCAAAGAAUUUUUUUGUUUUUCUUAUGACCAUUUACAGAUUCGUUCAUUUUCGAUCAUUUCGCAUCUUCUCUACCUUCUUUGUGUCAACGAUGUAACAGACAUGCCACUGCUUAUGCUACUUAAAAUUAUUUUAUGAUUUCUAGGAGAAUUAUAUUUCUUGAUGUUUACUCGUACGGGGAUCUUAUGAUGAAUUUCUGACGUCUAAACCCAAGGCCACGCUCUGCAAGCCAUCAUCUUAUCCCGUUAAUCAAACCAAACCUUCUGGGCACAAGUAUCGGUGGCUUUAUUCUAUACAAAACCAUAGUUAUCAAUAGGAAGCAAUAGCAUAGCCAUUACCAACAAAUAUAUGUGUUAACUGUCUUAUCCCUAUUAUGCGGCUCAUACUUCGACUAGGUGAAUGCUCCCACAUCGUAAGUCAAAGUUUGUAUAAGCCGCUCGAAUAGCGAGCUUUGCAAGACGUGGUGAUCAUAAAGUGACCAGUGCGAAGCGAGCGACAAAUGAAUUUUGCUUCUUUCUGUUUGAAUAUCCAAACCUAAUAUGAAAAUUUGAAGUUCCUAUUUGAAGUAUUAGUAUGGAGCGAUAAUUUGUAUGGUCCUUGUUUUUUUUUUUAGUUAAAUUCGGUGCAGUGACUUGGCAUCAGCGGCCAAUAAGACGUGAGGCAUGAUUUGUUAGCUUAGGCUUCAUUAAAUCGAGUUUCCGUUGAUGACAAGUUUCAUCAAAUCAAAGAUUUCAAACUAAAUUGUUUGAUAUUUUCGCGAACUACGGUGUUGGGCUGCUUUCUUGUGUGCGAUAUUGUGGCUUUGAAUCAAGCUCAUUGUUGGCAAGUCUUUUUUGCGUAAUAACCGCCGGCAUAGUAACUUUAUUUAACAAGUUUUGCAGCCAAAGGGUGUUACUUUCUGUUAUUUUUUUAUCGUCUAGUUCCUAGAUCAUUUUCUAUAUGCUCGAUUUCUAUGCAUUCUAAUAGGACAUCCAUGACCAUUAGUUAGCAGUAUACGUACAACAUCUGAUGCUGUAACUACAGGUAGGCAGCGUACACUGUACAGCCACUAAUGCUGUACCUUAAGACCAUUUACAAGCAACCCGUGUACAUUGCACAGCCCAGGGGCCACACUCUCAAAAUUCUUUAAACGUUAGUACUUACGCUCUAUUUUCUUGUCUAUGAUCGGGCCGUCAAUGCUUGACAGCAUUUGCUUGAAUGAUUGGCUGAUGAACUUACGAUCUCUCAACUUUUUUGAAAGUUUAGGCCCUGAUCUACAGCGUGUGUCAGUGUUCGUCCUGAUAUAAGCAAACUUCGACGCCACCUCAUGACCGAGUGCAAUGCAAUGAUCUGAUUUACCGUCAAUUUCUGUUGUCCCUUAUUAGACUAAUCUUGCGUACGUUUCUGAUAAUAAUUAUCUAUUGUUUAUCAAGUUGGAUCGUAUUAUGAAUGUUUGUACACAUGUAAGUAUUCUUUCAUGUAUAGCUGUUUGUAGUCCGAAAAGCGUUGUUGUCGGACCAUCUGUUGCUUCAAAAACUGUCAUGUCUUCAUCUGGCGAAGUUUUCUCACUGAAUGGAAUAAUACUUAACGUUUUGCUUCGAAUUCUUAUUUCUCUUGAUAACGUUUUUUUGUUGAUCAUUCUUCAAUUUGAACUCGAAUGCAAGUUUUCAAUAGUUUCACAGUUUAGAUUUUCACGCGCGCGAGUGCAUACUGGGAGCACAUUAGGUGGUUCAGAAUCAAACUUGGUUAUUUAUACAACAAUAAUAUUGUUAUUAAUAUAAAUUAACUUGGUUAUUUAUACCCCAAUGGUGGAAAGAACAUCGUUUGGUAUAGCUCGUUUAUGUUCAGCUGUGACACUAGGAAUCUUAGCAUGAAGAGAAAUCCACUAUUUUCAAUGAUGUAGCCUUGUGGGCUAUGUAUAAUAUGUGCGCUUUAAAAACUUUUUGAGGCCGUGCUAACAAUUGUCGCCUUUUGCUUAGUUUGAAUCUUCGCCCAUCGUCUCAGCACUCCAUAACAAUAGCAUUAGGUCCUCGCACUUGUGGUCAGCAGCUGUGGUGGCCACAACCAAUAACAUUGAAUAAACAAUGCUUCUUCAUUUGAAUAAUUUUCUCCGCAUUUUAAUGGGAUAAAACUUUGAUUACGGAAUGUUUAUGUUGAAUAUUUUCCAAGAAAUAAUGGAUUUUAUUAUUUAUAUUUUAUAUCAUUUGCAUUUACAAUGUAGGCAGAUCAUCCACUUCUGCGUUUCAUGAGGAGUAUUUUGUUCAAUUUUAUGAGGUUAGAAUGUGUGAUUGGAAAUUUUAUUAUUGUUAAUUAAUAUUGUUAUGAUUAUUGCAUGUUUACUUGUAAUUCAAAUCCAUUUUUAGUUUUAAAUUUUUUUGCUGUUAGAAGGGUCUAACUCAAAGAGAAAUUAUUAUUAUAAUAUAAUAAAUUAUAAAUCGAAUUAUGCAUACUUUCCUAUAGAGAACAGCCUUAUUCUGGCUUCCUUUGAAUUCUAUUAGUAAGUAAUAAGGAGAUGAUGUCUAAUGGUUCUUGCCGGGAGUAGAAAAUUUUCCCUAGUAUAAAUUUAUAAGAAGAAUCCUUAUAUAACCGUGAUGUUCACGGUUACUCUAUUGUGAUGCUCAUUCAUUUUAUAGAAAGUUUGAAUGA